rnacentral:rRNA from 1 species
GAUUAAGUUAUUAAGGGCGCACGGUGGAUGCCUUGGCACUAGAAGCCGAUGAAGGACGUUACUAACGACGAUAUGCUUUGGGGAGCUGUAAGUAAGCUUUGAUCCAGAGAUUUCCGAAUGGGGAAACCCAGCAUGAGUUAUGUCAUGUUAUCGAUAUGUGAAUACAUAGCAUAUCAGAAGGCACACCCGGAGAACUGAAACAUCUUAGUACCCGGAGGAAGAGAAAGAAAAUUCGAUUCCCUUAGUAGCGGCGAGCGAAAUGGGAAGAGCCCAAACCAACAAGCUUGCUUGUUGGGGUUGUAGGACACUCUAUACGGAGUUACAAAGGACGACAUUAGACGAAUCAUCUGGAAAGAUGAAUCAAAGAAGGUAAUAAUCCUGUAGUCGAAAAUGUUGUCUCUCUUGAGUGGAUCCUGAGUACGACGGAGCACGUGAAAUUCCGUCGGAAUCUGGGAGGACCAUCUCCUAAGGCUAAAUACUCUCUAGUGACCGAUAGUGAACCAGUACCGUGAGGGAAAGGUGAAAAGCACCCCGGAAGGGGAGUGAAAUAGAACCUGAAACCGUGUGCUUACAAGUAGUCAGAGCCCGUUAAUGGGUGAUGGCGUGCCUUUUGUAGAAUGAACCGGCGAGUUACGAUUUGAUGCAAGGUUAAGCAGUAAAUGUGGAGCCGUAGCGAAAGCGAGUCUGAAUAGGGCGUUUAGUAUUUGGUCGUAGACCCGAAACCAGGUGAUCUACCCUUGGUCAGGUUGAAGUUCAGGUAACACUGAAUGGAGGACCGAACCGACUUACGUUGAAAAGUGAGCGGAUGAACUGAGGGUAGCGGAGAAAUUCCAAUCGAACCUGGAGAUAGCUGGUUCUCUCCGAAAUAGCUUUAGGGCUAGCCUCAAGUGAUGAUUAUUGGAGGUAGAGCACUGUUUGGACGAGGGGCCCCUCUCGGGUUACCGAAUUCAGACAAACUCCGAAUGCCAAUUAAUUUAACUUGGGAGUCAGAACAUGGGUGAUAAGGUCCGUGUUCGAAAGGGAAACAGCCCAGACCACCAGCUAAGGUCCCAAAAUAUAUGUUAAGUGGAAAAGGAUGUGGCGUUGCCCAGACAACUAGGAUGUUGGCUUAGAAGCAGCCAUCAUUUAAAGAGUGCGUAAUAGCUCACUAGUCGAGUGACACUGCGCCGAAAAUGUACCGGGGCUAAACAUAUUACCGAAGCUGUGGAUUGUCCUUUGGACAAUGGUAGGAGAGCGUUCUAAGGGCGUUGAAGCAUGAUCGUAAGGACAUGUGGAGCGCUUAGAAGUGAGAAUGCCGGUGUGAGUAGCGAAAGACGGGUGAGAAUCCCGUCCACCGAUUGACUAAGGUUUCCAGAGGAAGGCUCGUCCGCUCUGGGUUAGUCGGGUCCUAAGCUGAGGCCGACAGGCGUAGGCGAUGGAUAACAGGUUGAUAUUCCUGUACCACCUAUAAUCGUUUUAAUCGAUGGGGGGACGCAGUAGGAUAGGCGAAGCGUGCGAUUGGAUUGCACGUCUAAGCAGUAAGGCUGAGUAUUAGGCAAAUCCGGUACUCGUUAAGGCUGAGCUGUGAUGGGGAGAAGACAUUGUGUCUUCGAGUCGUUGAUUUCACACUGCCGAGAAAAGCCUCUAGAUAGAAAAUAGGUGCCCGUACCGCAAACCGACACAGGUAGUCAAGAUGAGAAUUCUAAGGUGAGCGAGCGAACUCUCGUUAAGGAACUCGGCAAAAUGACCCCGUAACUUCGGGAGAAGGGGUGCUCUUUAGGGUUAACGCCCAGAAGAGCCGCAGUGAAUAGGCCCAAGCGACUGUUUAUCAAAAACACAGGUCUCUGCUAAACCGUAAGGUGAUGUAUAGGGGCUGACGCCUGCCCGGUGCUGGAAGGUUAAGAGGAGUGGUUAGCUUCUGCGAAGCUACGAAUCGAAGCCCCAGUAAACGGCGGCCGUAACUAUAACGGUCCUAAGGUAGCGAAAUUCCUUGUCGGGUAAGUUCCGACCCGCACGAAAGGCGUAACGAUUUGGGCACUGUCUCAACGAGAGACUCGGUGAAAUCAUAGUACCUGUGAAGAUGCAGGUUACCCGCGACAGGACGGAAAGACCCCGUGGAGCUUUACUGUAGCCUGAUAUUGAAAUUCGGCACAGCUUGUACAGGAUAGGUAGGAGCCUUUGAAACGUGAGCGCUAGCUUACGUGGAGGCGCUGGUGGGAUACUACCCUAGCUGUGUUGGCUUUCUAACCCGCACCACUUAUCGUGGUGGGAGACAGUGUCAGGCGGGCAGUUUGACUGGGGCGGUCGCCUCCUAAAAGGUAACGGAGGCGCUCAAAGGUUCCCUCAGAAUGGUUGGAAAUCAUUCAUAGAGUGUAAAGGCAUAAGGGAGCUUGACUGCGAGACCUACAAGUCGAGCAGGGUCGAAAGACGGACUUAGUGAUCCGGUGGUUCCGCAUGGAAGGGCCAUCGCUCAACGGAUAAAAGCUACCCCGGGGAUAACAGGCUUAUCUCCCCCAAGAGUUCACAUCGACGGGGAGGUUUGGCACCUCGAUGUCGGCUCAUCGCAUCCUGGGGCUGUAGUCGGUCCCAAGGGUUGGGCUGUUCGCCCAUUAAAGCGGUACGCGAGCUGGGUUCAGAACGUCGUGAGACAGUUCGGUCCCUAUCCGUCGUGGGCGUAGGAAAUUUGAGAGGAGCUGUCCUUAGUACGAGAGGACCGGGAUGGACAUACCUCUGGUGUACCAGUUGUCGUGCCAACGGCAUAGCUGGGUAGCUAUGUGUGGACGGGAUAAGUGCUGAAAGCAUCUAAGCAUGAAGCCCCCCUCAAGAUGAGAUUUCCCAACUUCGGUUAUAAGAUCCCUCAAAGAUGAUGAGGUUAAUAGGUUCGAGGUGGANNNNNNNNNNNNNNNNNNNNNNNNNUUUUUUUUAUGUCUAAAAUGUCAAAAUA